rnacentral:rRNA from 1 species
UACGGGGGGGGCAAGCGUUGUUCGGAAUUACUGGGCGUAAAGGGCUCGUAGGCGCCAACUAAGUCAGACGUGAAAUCCCCAGCUCAACCUGGGAACUGCGUCUGAUACUGGAUGGCUUGAAUUCGGGAGAGGGAUGCAGAAUUCCAGGUGGAGCAGUGAAAUGCGUAGAUAUUGUGAGGAACACUAGUGGCGAAGGCGAGACUCUGGACAGUUCCUGACGCUGAGGCACGAAGGCCAGGGGAGCAAACGGG